CGCACGGCCGCUCCGCCCUCACCUGAGCCGGAGGUUGGCCAUGAACUCGGGCAUGGAGACGGUGUCCAUCAGUACGAAGUCCGCCUUGCCGAACUCCAGGCUCUCUUGCUCCGCCAUGGCGCCGGCGUAUGGGCUCAGUCAAGACCAUCUUCUAGGAAAUCUAGAGGCUCCCAAGGACCUGGCUGGGCUCCAACUCUAUGGCUGAAUUUGAGAUGGUAAACCAGACGGAAGAACCCUGCUCAAGGCUGGCUUUGGCUGCCAACAACCCACACUAGCCAGGAGAUUGGGGAAGGCAGCUUGGUUACCUCCCAAGGGAGCACCUCCGCUAUAAGAAAGCCACCCCAAACCCUGGCACACGAAGAGCUGGGUUGUGGUCUACCAUUAGCAGCUCUCCUUCUUCAGAAGACACCUCUCUGGAUCUCAGUGUCCUCAUUUGUGGAAUAAGACCUCUAGGCUAGACGCUUUCCAAGACUCACCCAGACUUCAGUGGAUGCUCCUGGAUCUUGGAUGCAUUGGGUUCUCUGGAGGAUUGGCUGCUGGAAUGGGUUAGCCUGGAAGCGGUCAGACUGUCCUUCUACAACCACAGAAGAGCUGUCACCAGCAGAGAGAUCCUUGGAGCGGUUAAGCAAAGAUCCUUUAGGAAGAGCUUUUGUAUAAAUAAAGUGUUCUGAAUGGCUCUGUUGAAAUGGUUGUACUCGUCAAAAAUAAUCAGAGAGGUCAGAGGACUGAAUUGGAAGACAAGGUAUCUGAUAGAUACCUGUUGCAACAGGAGUCUUGGUGCUAUAUACCUGGUCUCUGGGUCCUGUGUUUUUAGCCUCUGACUUAAUUUGCAAAUAAAUAAGGAAAG